UACGGGGGGGGCAAGCGUUGUUCGGAAUUACUGGGCGUAAAGGGCUCGUAGGUGGCCAACUAAGUCAGACGUGAAAUCCCUCGGCUUAACCGGGGAACUGCGUCUGAUACUGGAUGGCUUGAGUUCGGGAGAGGGAUGCGGAAUUCCAGGUGUAGCGGUGAAAUGCGUAGAUAUCUGGAGGAACACCGGUGGCGAAGGCGGCUCUCUGGACCACAACUGACGCUGAGGCGCGAAAGCGUGGGGAGCAAACAGG
rnacentral:rRNA from 1 species